AGGAGAGGAUGGGGUAAGGCAGAAGCACCAGCUGUACUACUAGAAGGGAGCUUUUGGUGGUAGAUCCCCUGGUGUCUCCAACCUGACUAGGUGGACAGAGCUCAAAGAGGCCCUCUUACCGCUAGCGAGGUGAUAGGACAUCUGGCUUGCCACAAAGGUCUGUUCGACCAGACAUAUCCUAGCUAAGGGAUGUCCAAACAUCAGAAUGUGAGGCCAACCUUCUAUCAGAGUUAAACUUUUGACAAGGGAACAAAUCUCAAACUGAUCCAUCAGUCAUGUAGCUAGCUGUAGAGCUUGCAACUUAAUAGCAGCAGCUGCCCAAUGCCAUGUGAAGUAACAAACUGGUUUUUGGUUUUUUUUUCCCCUUCAGUUUUAAUGUUAUGUGUAAUGUAUUUAAACCCUUAUUUAAAUAAAACUUGUUUUCAGAAA
rnacentral:lncRNA from 1 species